rnacentral:rRNA from 1 species
UACGUAGGGGGCUAGCGUUGUCCGGAUUUAUUGGGCGUAAAGAGCGUGUAGGCGGCCAGGUAGGUCUGCUGUGAAAACUCGAGGCUCAACCUCGAGACGUCGGCUGAAACCAUCUGGCUAGAGUCCGGAAGAGGAGAGUGGAAUUCCUGGUGUAGCGGUGAAAUGCGCAGAUAUCAGGAAGAACACCCGUGGCGAAGGCGGCUCUCUGGGACGGUACUGACGCUGAGACGCGAAAGCGUGGGGAGCGAACGGG